AAUGAAUGUUGGCGGCGUGGAUUAGGCAUGCAAGUCGUGCGGAAAGGCUCCUUCGGGAGUACUCGAGCGGCGUAAGGGAGAGUAACGCGUGGAUAUCUACCCCCUGGACUGGGAUAGCGGCGGGAAACUGCCGGUAAUACCAGAUAAUGUCUGCGGACCAAAGGUGUGAUUCCGCCGGGGGAUGAGUUCGCGUCCUAUUAGCUAGUUGGUAGGGUAAUGGCCUACCAAGGCAAAGAUGGGUACCGGGUGUGAGAGCAUGGACCGGCUCACUGGGACUGAGACACUGCCCAGAAACCUACGGGUGGCUGCAGUCGAGAAUCUUCGGCAAUGGGCGCAAGCCUGACCGAGCGACGCCGCGUGCGGGAUGAAGGCCUUCGGGUUGUAAACCGCUGUCAGAGGGGAGGAAAUGCGUGAGAGUUCUCUCUCACGUUUGACCUAUCCUCAGAGGAAGUACGGGCUAAGUUCGUGCCAGCAGCCGCGGUAACAC
rnacentral:rRNA from 1 species